CCCGCCGGCGACCGGCGCACGGGUGAGUAACACGUAUGAAACCUGCCCGUAGCAGGGGGAUAAGCGGAAGAAAUUCCGUCUAAUACCGCGUAACAACCCGAGGAGGCAUCUCCUCGGGUUUAAAGGAAGCGAUUCCGGCUACGGAUGGUCAUGCGUCGCAUUAGCUAGUUGGCGGGGUAACGGCCCACCAAGGCGACGAUGCGUAGGGGUUCUGAGAGGAAGGUCCCCCACACUGGCACUGAGACACGGACCAGACUCCUACGGAAGGCAGCAG
rnacentral:rRNA from 1 species